rnacentral:lncRNA from 1 species
AAGCCUCCUCGGGACCCUGACUGCAGGGUCCAGAGAAAGCCUGAGCCACGGGGAAGGUUCAGAGAUGCCCUCCUCCCCGGCACGUGUCCUGAUCUUUGUGGGUCAGCGGCAGCUACCUUUUCCUCUGCCUAAUGAAUGAGAUCCAGGCUGCUGCCUGGCCCCUGGGAAAUCCCAUGACAGAAAAGAAAUGAUAGCGGGGCCUGAGGGGAGCAGGAGCAGGAAGCAGGGAGGCUGGCACAGGGACAGCGUGCCCAGGAACACCCAGGCCCAGCUUCCCUCCCUCCCUUCCUCCCUCCCUCACAUGAGGAAAAAGCCUUGUCAUCGAUCCCUAGACUCCCGGCUCAGCCUCUCCCUCCUCUCCGGCAUCGACGGGGAGCCCUGGACCACGCAUCAGUCAGGAGCCUUCCCUCUCAGGGCUGUCUGGCCACUUGACCUUGACCAAGGCACUCCCCCCGGGCCCUGUCCCUCAGAAGAAACCAGAGAGCGGUUCGGUUCUUCCAAUCCACCUUCUGGAACCCUAGAAGGCUCCAGUCAGGAGGAACCGGCUCCCCAUCAUUUUAUGGAGGAGACCACUAAAGGGCAGGCAAGGAAGGAGGGCUUCCUGUCCUAUCCCAGGUCACAGAGAUCUCCAAUGGCAGCAUCAGGAUUGGCUCUUAAGAUGUUGGACUCUGAAUCCAGCUUGCCUUCAUCUCCUUCACAAUGGGCUCUCACAGCUGCUGCUGAAUCUACCCCUUUUCUCACCCAAAGCAAACAGAGCAGGUCCCUCCCGCCUUCCAGAAUUCCCUGAGUGACACCCUGAGCCUACGUUAAGGAGAGGAGCAAAACUGGACAGCAGGGUAAACUGAGAGGUGGCCUUGCUUUGUUUUAUUGAAGGAGAGGCCUUUGUAUGUUGCGGGGCAGAGGAAAGGGAAAGGGAACUGGAUGGGCAAUUUUCACAAUUUUUAUUUAAAGGAAUUUAAAUCAGGCUUCAGUUUUCCAUCUUUAAAAGGGAAGGGGGGGUGCAGCUGGGUAGCUCAGUGGAUUGAGAGUCAGACAGGGGUCCUGGGUUCAAAUUUGACCUCAGACACUUCUUAGCUGGUCACUUCACCCCCAUUGUCUAGCCCUUACCACUCUUCUGCCUCAGAAUCAAUACGCAGUACUUAUUCUAAGUGUUUAAAAAAUAAAAUAAUAAAAUGGGGGAGGAGGAUUGGAGCA